CCUGUCCCUAGAAGCAUUACAGGUUUGGCUGCUUUGUCACAUGUGCAUCGGGAGGGGACAGAGGAGAGAGGCUAUGUCAACAUUAAGUGUUCUGUUCUAUGAAUAUUUUAACAAUUAGUAGCCUAACAUU